rnacentral:misc_RNA from 1 species
UAUUGUAUCGCUGUGCAGCCUCACUGCAUCCUCUCCCUCUCCUCGUUUACUUCUGUUCGCCCGUCUUUCCUUGCCUUCGUGCCUCUCUGCGGUGCCUAUCACCCCCCGCCUCUGCGCAGACAAGCACGCGUUGGAGCAAGCAUCUGCCCUGUGCCACAGCUUACCAUCACCACCGCUGCGCAUCGCCAUCAUGUCCCACCGGUACGACUCCCGCACCACCACCUUCUCCCCUGAGGGUCGCCUCUACCAGGUGGAGUACGCCGUGGAGGCGAUUCAGCAGGCCGGCACCGUCAUCGGCGUAUGCACGAAGGACGGCGUCGUGCUGGCGGGCGAGAAGAUGGUGCCGCACCCGCUCUUUGAUAGCGAAAACAUGCAGGACAAGAACACCAGUGGGGAGAAGAUGUACAAGAUCGCCGAGCACAUCGGCUGCAGCGUGGCGGGUGUGACGUCGGAUGCGUACGCCUUGCUGAACUACGCUCGGCUUUCGGCACUGCGCCACCAGUACACCUUCCAGGAGCCGAUGGCGAUCGAGGAUCUCUGCCGCAUCCUGUGUGACGAGAAGCAGCUCUACACGCAGUACGGCGGCGUGCGCCCCUACGGUGUCUCCUUCCUGCUUGUUGGAUGGGACCGCUACUACGGUUAUCAGCUCUACUCCACCGAGCCGAGCGGCGACUACAGCGCCUGGAGUGCGUACGCGAUCGGACAGAACGACCAGGUGGCGCACUCACUCUUGAAGAAGGACUGGCACGAGAACAUGACGCUAGAGGACGGCAUGCUGCUGGCGCUGCGGGUGCUGGGCAAGACGAUGGACACGGCAAAGAUCGACCUCGGCCGGGUGGAGGUGGCGGUGAUGCGCAAGGUACCCGCUUCGAACGUUGAUCAGCUGCUCGACCCGUUCAAGCACCACCCCAAGACGACGCCUCAGUUUCAGAUUCUCGCCCUUAGUGAACUGAAGCCGCACGCCGAACGCGCCGACCAGGCCAGGGAGGCGGAGGAGCAGGCCGAGGCGGAGCGUCAGCGCCAGCAGGAGCAGGCUCUGGAGUCGUAAGGCCUCCGCGCGCGUUUGGGGUCUGUGUGUGUGUGUAGGGUACGCGACUGAUAUAUGCGUUGCGCACGCAGAAGAGGAGACACAGAAAGAGAGGAGGGGCGAUAGAAGACAAAGGUGUCGGCACGGGCCCCGGAGCUGCACGAGGAGGCAUCCCUCGGCGACAUGCACACAUAUCCGUUCGAGUCACAUCCCCGCUCAGCCGCAUGCGCCGGAGUGAGGUGAACGGCAGCAGGGGCAUCGCUCUCCAAGCAUACAUAGGUAUAUAUAUAUAUAUAUAUAUAUAUAUAUUUGCCGCAAAUCCCCUCCCUCCCGGCUCCGUCCUCCAUCUUCAACGUGUAUGCGCGCAAGGUUGUGUAGAGGGUGAGGGGAGAGGGAGGAGGGUCCGUCACUAGCGGCUAUCAGCGUCCCCUUCCUCCCCUCUCUACGCUUCUUUGUUCGUUUUCUCUUAUACCACUGCCCUCCCCCUUCCCCUCGUGUCCUCUCCUCCCUAAAGCAGCCCACCACUUCUGUCUCUCUCUGUGUGCCUGUGUGUGUGUGUCUGUGAAGAGGGGUGUGUGUGGGGGCAGGGGAGGGUGGUGGCAGGGGCGAUCCGAUGUACGGCGGCG